rnacentral:rRNA from 1 species
AUACGGAGGGUCCAAGCGUUAUCCGGAAUCAUUGGGUUUAAAGGGUUCGUAGGCGGGUCAAUAAGUCAGAGGUGAAAUCUUGCAGCUUAACUGUAAAAUUGCCUUUGAAACUGUUGACCUUGAAUUACUGUGAAGUGGUUAGAAUAUGUAGUGUAGCGGUGAAAUGCUUAGAGAUUACAUAGAAUACCGAUUGCGAAGGCAGAUCACUAACAGUAUGUUGACGCUGAUGAACGAAAGCGUGGGUAGCGAACGGGAUUAGAAACCCCUGUAGUCC